AUUGAAACGUACACGGGGUCUGCUAGCCCGCACACACUUCAAUAUCCAAACGUGGGUUCUUCUCAAACACACGUGGGGGAAAAUAGAGAGAUCUUUUGGAGUAAAUUAUACGGACACCUGAAAUAAAGUUAUAACACAAUAAUUUAUUUAUAUAUCAUUUCACAAACAAUAUAAUCGGAUUUGGUUAAUCUGUAUAAUGGCCCUGGUUCCUCGUCUACCUCUGGUCAGGAAUGUUCGUCUGUUCGUCUAUGCCAAUUAGAAGUUCCACAUCUAGAUGUAGUUCCAGAAAUUCUAAGAGUAAAGAAAGGCUUGACAAAAACUGUGUCACGUCUUGCCUUGUUAACAUAGGAGGCUUGACAAAAACGGUGUCACGUCUUGCCUAUAUGGUUUUAUCAGGAAAUCUGGUUGAUACUGGCACUCGGAAUGAAUGAAAGGCUAUAUAGUUGAAAGGAAUCUAUGUUAACUUUAAAUAUGGUUCUCUAGAAAGACAGAUUAUAUUGUAUAUUAAAUUAGGAAAUAUCUGUACUAGACCGGUAAAAUGGUCCUAGGUUUGUUAGAUAGGUAGUGGAUCUUUAUUAUAGAUAUAAAGAUAUAAGGUUCUAUCUAGUCUUGGAUUUGGUAAUUUUAUAUAGGACUUUAUUAUAUUUUCGUAGGUUUAUGGAAUACUGACAAACUGUCAAACCCUGCCAGAGAUUCUAGGCAAUCUUGUACUAUGGUUACUGUACCUUCUUGGUAGCAGGUGACACAUCCAUAGGAUGUUUUGGCAUUUAGGAGUUAGGAUAAUAGUGUAGUGGCUAGCACAAAUUCUAACCGGGUACUGACGACAGUGCCAGGGUCUGCCAGCUAUUUAUAGUCUCAGAGGGGUGGCUACAUUGGUAUGGGGUGCCAAGCUUGGCAGAGUCGUCAUCUAGUGGAUGACGUCAGCGCGCGUGCGGCAGAAUUUUAGCCCUAGCCGGAUAUGGCAUCUACGUUUGGCGACAGGUGGCUAAUUAGUAUUUCUUCGUCUCUAAUAUGGCUCGUUUAAUAUCUAAAGGCAUUAUAAGUUCAGAAAUAUGUUCAGGAGGGAUUGAUCUCUUGAUCCACAUCGGGUAUCGGUAUGAGGACGGUCUCAUAACAUAAUCGAGGUACGAAUAUUAUAGUGUACUAAUUUCGGAUAAACUGUAUCCGGACGUAAAAUGAUGAUGGCAUAGUCGUUACAUUGCACCCCUUCCACAUGGAUUCAGCCCCUGAAUAGGAGUUUUAGUAAGUAUAUCUACAGUAAGUAUAGCUGGUUAUCAUUUUAUGUGGAGUGUAAUGGGUUUAAUUCGUAUUUACACUUCUAUAUAUCUGGUUGUUGCUAAUUGAAGAACAAACACCUGUCAUAGGAGGUAAUUAAUUUGGUAUCAAGACAUAAGUACACCUGGACUGGAUUUCCAUUAAACCUGUGCAAUUUAUGGUGUUGAGGAAACCAUUCUGUAACUGGUACGGCUAAAAUGAAUUAUUAUUUGACAUAUUUUCACAUGUGAUUACUGGAUAUGUCAAAGUUGGGCAAUAUAUUUAUCAAAGGCAUUAAGUAUUAUAAUCAACAAUACUUGUAAAAUUGUCAUACUCAGAAAUGGCAUUUUUAAUAAUGGAUCAUGUAUACAUUAUUCAUUCAUACGGUACUUCUGGGUAACUUGAAGUUUUCAUUUAUAAACAGCUAACAUUCAUACAACUUUUCAGAUGUACAAUUUUCCUCAAUUAUUUCAGCGCUGAGAUUUCAUUCAUACAAGAAAUUUAAUACAUGUGUAUUUACAGGGAAUAGAGAGCUUGACAGUAUUUGUCGAUUGGCCACCUGGAGAACGGUAUAAACCAACGGCUCAUCUAAACAGAAGUAUACUCCAUUUCGUCCUCAACCUAAACACUCGCAGCGGUGUACUGCACAAUCAUGGGUUCAUCUAGGGUGAGGUUCUCCAGGUUAUGUGAAAGGGACCUCCAGGUUAGUCAUAGUUCGGGUAAAAGGACCACUCUGAUGUGCAAGCAGAGGAACGGUGGUGUCCACCUGAGGCACACUAUUUCAGUGCAACAGGGAGCGGCAUCUACCAGCUUUGGCAGAAUGAAAAACUCCGCUUCUUGUUUAAUUUCAUUCAGGACCUGCAAGUCAUUUGGUAGGCAUCCUGCAGGCAUUUGUCUGUCAUACCGUAAAUAGUUCAGGAUGAACUUAAAAUGGGAUGGAUCACGGUCAAUGAUAAUCUUGGAGUCUCCGUCAGUAGUUAGUCCGCAAGGAGGUAGUGGUACUGUGGCAGUUUCAGUCGGUAGUGCAGGCAUAGAGAGUGUUGGCUUCUUCUGAUUUAUGGUCGGCUUAUACGGAUGGUAAUGUGUUUUGGCAGGAUGUUUGUUAUGACUGGCACCAAGUACAGUUUCUCUUAUUGGAGAUAGAGGUUUCUUAGAGGUGUGAGAGGACAUACAUGGAAUGGUUGUUCCUGGAUGUUACUGAUAGAGUACUAUUUUGAUGGCAGUCACAGGGAUAUAUGGUAAUAGGUUUACCCAUUACAAGAUCUAUGGGGAGGUUGAUUUGUCUGCCAAACAUCAUGGCACAAGGAGAUACACCAGUACUCUCAUGGACGCUUGACCUGUACGCUAACAUAAGUAAAGGUUGUAAUGGCGGUCUAGAGUCUGGUGGGAGAAUUUCAUACUUGGAUCUCUUCAGUAUGCUAACAUUAGAACCAGUAUCAAGUAAUGCGGACCAUAACGUUGUGUUAGUAGGUCUACUAACAGUUUGUAGUCAUAGUGGUCUCUGGAAUCAAGUUCUGUCAACAUGGAACGGGCAUCUCCUUUUAGACAACUAGCAAGGCAUAAUCCUUUGGAUCUUAAAUUCCAGUUAUUCAAGUCACUACAAAUUUGGAAAUAUAUUAGAAAUUCAUUCAAGUCGUCUGUACCGUCAAAAGUUGGCCGGUCCAGAAUGCAGUCAGCAAAAGGCAUUCAAAUAAGGCUGUAAUGGUAGAUCCAAUCAACAAUUUUACCUGUUUGAUUGAAUGGUCAGCACCUGGAAAAACUAUGGAAUAUCAGUAACUGAAGAUGUUGUUAAAACAGCAUAAUGAAAUGAAUUGUAAAAUAGUCAAUAAAAUAUUCUGUGUCACUGUCUCCCUGUGGUAUUCCUGGAAGAAUAAAGCAGACUGGUUGAUUAAUUUUCAAAGAUAAUCCCACUUCUGACACCAGUUGAAACGUACACGGGGUCUGCUAGCCCGCACACACUUCAAUAUCCAAACGUGGGUUCUUCUCAAACACACGUGGGGGAAAAUAGAGAGAUCUUUUGGAGUAAAUUAUACGGACACCUGAAAUAAAGUUAUAACACAAUAAUUUAUUUAUAUAUCAUUUCACAAACAAUAUAAUCGGAUUGGUUAAUCUGUAUAAUGGCCCUGGUUCCUCGUCUACCUCUGGUCAGGAAUGUUCGUCUGUUCGUCUAUGCCAAUUAGAAGUUCCACAUCUAGAUGUAGUUCCAGAAAUUCUAAGAGUAAAGAAAGGCUUGACAAAAACUGUGUCACGUCUUGCCUUGUUAACAUAGGAGGCUUGACAAAAACGGUGUCACGUCUUGCCUAUAUGGUUUUAUCAGGAAAUCUGGUUGAUACUGGCACUCGGAAUGAAUGAAAGGCUAUAUAGUUGAAAGGAAUCUAUGUUAACUUUAAAUAUGGUUCUCUAGAAAGACAGAUUAUAUUGUAUAUUAAAUUAGGAAAUAUCUGU